rnacentral:rRNA from 1 species
ACGGGAGGCAGCAGUGGGGAAUAUUGCACAAUGGGCGCAAGCCUGAUGCAGCGAUGCCGCGUGAGGGAAGAAGGUUUUCGGAUUGUAAACCUCUGUCAACAGGGACGAAAAUGACGGUACCUGUGAAGGAAGCUCCGGCUAACUACGUGCCAGCAGCCGCGGUAAUACGUAGGGAGCAAGCGUUAUCCGGAUUUACUGGGUGUAAAGGGUGCGUAGGCGGCAUAACAAGUCAGUCGUUUAAUUUCGGAGCUUAACUCCGAAUCGGCGAUUGAAACUGUUGAGCUAGAGUACAGGAGAGGUAAGCGGAAUUACUAGUGUAGAGGUGGAAUUCGUAGAUAUUAGUAAGAACACCAAUGGCGAAGGCAGCUUACUGGCCUGCAACAGACGCUGAGGCACGAAAGUGUGGGGAGCAAACAGGAUUAGAUACCCUGGUA